UGCUCUCAUCGUUUAAUGGUUAAGACAAUGUUUUUUCGUGACAUUAAUGCAAGUUCAAAUCUAGCUGAGAGU
rnacentral:tRNA from 1 species